AAUAGAUACCCCGGUAGUCCACGCCGUAAACGAUGGAUACUAGCUGUUUGGAGCAAUCUGAGUGGCUAGGCGAAAGUGAUAAGUAUCCCACCUGGGGAGUACGCACGCAAGUGUGAAACUCAAAGGAAUUGACGGGGGCCCGCACAAGCGGAGGAGCAUGUGGUUUAAUUCGAUGAUACGCGAGGAACCUUACCAGGGCUUAAAUGGGAGACGACAGUUUGGGAAACCAGACUUUCUUCGGACGUCUUUCAAGGUGCUGCAUGGUUGUCGUCAGCUCGUGCCGUGAGGUGUCAGGUUAAGUCCUAUAACGAGCGCAACCCCUAUUGUUAGUUGCCAGCGGGUCAUGCCGGGAACUCUAACAAGACUGCCGGUGCAAACCGUGAGGAAGGUGGGGAUGACGUCAAAUCAUCACGGCCCUUACGUCCUGGGCUACACACGUGCUACAAUGGACGGUACAGAGAGCAGCCACUGCGCAAGCAGGAGCGAAUCUAUAAAGCCGUUCUCAGUUCGGAUCGGAGUCUGCAACUCGACG
rnacentral:rRNA from 1 species